GGUGACCUGCGGAAGGAUCAUAUA
rnacentral:rRNA from 1 species